CAGUAGCCGCGGGAAUACAGAGGAUGCAAGCGUUGUCCGGAAUUAUUGGGCGUAAAGGGCUCGCAGGCGGUUUCUUAAGUCUGAUGUGAAAGCCCCCGGCUCAACCGGGGAGGGUCAUUGGAAACUGGGAAACUUGAGUGCAGAAGAGGAGAGUGGAAUUCCACGUGUAGCGGUGAAAUGCGUAGAGAUGUGGAGGAACACCAGUGGCGAAGGCGACUCUCUGGUCUGUAACUGACGCUGAGGAGCGAAAGCGUGGGGAGCGAACAGGAUUAGAUACCCCUGUAGUCCCUGUCUCUUAUAC
rnacentral:rRNA from 1 species